UCCGAGCGCGUCCCACGGCAGGACGUCCGGCUCUGGACCGGAAGACCGGGGUUCGAAUCCCUGGCUCGGAG
rnacentral:tRNA from 1 species